rnacentral:lncRNA from 1 species
UCUCUCAGGUAGGUGACGUAUCCUGCUUGACCUACGCUGGUCUUGUUCUACUUGAGCAGGUUGCUCUUCCACAACCAUUUGUGUUUCCUGCUCUAAUUCCUCCAUAGGUGUAUCGAUGCUUUGUGAUUCUUGAAUUUCUUCAAGCUCUACUUUCCUCCCACUGGUUCCUUUGGAAAUAAAAUCCUUUUCUAGGAAAACUCCAGUUCGAGCGACAA